ensembl:antisense 0610012D04Rik RIKEN cDNA 0610012D04 gene
GACAUUUCUGCACCAAGCACACAGCUUGUGGGUGCCUCACAGCCUCUGGCCCACCACGACCGCAAAGUCGGCUCCAGAAGUCGUGGACUAUCUGCGGAGAACCCACUACGUGCCGCACCAACUGUUUCCAUAGGCAACGAAGGCUCCGAUAAACUCAGGAGGCCUCAGGACAAACCACAGAUGACUUCCGUUUAUGAGACAAGAACAAGUGAAGCCCUGAUAACUGGAUAUAAUUCCUGUCUCUUUAGUUGCUCAGUGGCUCCCUCAGCAGCUGUAUGUGUCUCUGGAGUCAAGGACUGGGAUUGGCUGGUGAAACCCACUCCAUCCGUCAAACAGCAGAGUACAGCUUGCCUCAAGUCCCAGGAAGUGUGGGGAUAAAAAAACCAGUGUUACCAAGUCCAACUCCACUUCUAUCUCCACUCUGUGACUAAUUUCUUUGUAUCUUUGACGAAUGUGUUCUGCUUGAAGCAGGUCUUGGCCUUAAAGGUGUAUGUAUAUUUGUAAUCCUUGAACUCAUUUGAAUUUCACC